rnacentral:rRNA from 1 species
GAUGAACGCUAGCGGCAGGCUUAAUACAUGCAAGUCGAGGGGCAGCAGCUUUAUAGCAAUAUAGAGGCUGGCGACCGGCAAACGGGUGCGGAACACGUACACAACCUUCCUUUAAGAGGGGGAUAGCCCAUAGAAAUGUGGAUUAAUACCCCGUAACAUAUCGGUGUGGCAUCACACUGUUAUUAUAGCUUCGACGCUUGAAGAUGGGUGUGCGGCUGAUUAGGUAGUUGGCGGGGUAAAGGCCCACCAAGCCUUCGAUCAGUAGCUGAUGUGAGAGCGUGAUCAGCCAAACGGGCACUGAGACACGGGCCCGACUCCUACGGGAGGCAGCAGUAAGGAAUAUUGGUCAAUGGACGCAAGUCUGAACCAGCCAUGCCGCGUGAAGGAUGAAGGUCCUCUGGAUUGUAAACUUCUUUUAUAGGGGGCGAAAAAAGGGAAUUCUUUCUCACUUGACAGUACCCUAUGAAUAAGCACCGGCUAACUCCGUGCCAGCCGCCGCCGUAA